rnacentral:rRNA from 1 species
GACGAACGCUGGCGGCGUGCUUAACACAUGCAAGUCGAGCGGAAAGGCCCUUCGGGGUACUCGAGCGGCGAACGGGUGAGUAACACGUGAGUAACCUGCCCUUGGCUCUGGGAUAAGCCCGGGAAACUGGGUCUAAUACCGGAUAUGACCAUCAGAUGCAUGUCUUGGUGGUGGAAAGAUUUUUCGGCUGGGGAUGGGCUCGCGGUCUAUCAGCUUGUUGGUGGGGUGANGGCCUACCAAGGCGACGACGGGUAGCCGGCCUGAGAGGGUGACCGGCCACACUGGGACUGAGACACGGCCCAGACUCCUACGGGAGGCAGCAGUGGGGAAUAUUGCGCAAUGGGCGGAAGCCUGACGCAGCGACGCCGCGUGGGGA